rnacentral:miRNA from 1 species
CAUUGGUAUAUGUCUGUGUGUGUGUGUGUGUGUGUGUGUGUGUGUGUACACAUACACACACAUACAUACACACACACACACAUCUUAAUA